UCAUCAUCAACAACGCUGCUGUCGAUAAUGGAUGCCACCACUAUCACCUGACAGGUAAUGGACGCAUGGGGAGGGGUUACUGACAUCAAUCAAGCUACUUCUCUUGCUGGUAUUGAUUAGGUGAGGCCAGGUAGACGCCAUAAGCAUCAGGUAGAAAUACAGGCAGAAAUUAGGUCACUGACUGUUGGGCUGACGAUGUCGUGGAUAUAUCAAGUUGCUUUUGCCGUUUUUGUGUGGGCCUCUACAUCACAGGCAUUCAACGUCACUGUUCUUGUGAUCCGUGA